rnacentral:rRNA from 1 species
GAUGAACGCUGACAGAAUGCUUAACACAUGCAAGUCAACUGUGGCGGACGGGUGAGUAACGCGUAAAGAACUUGCCUCACAGCUAGGGCCAACAUUUGGAAACGAAUGCUAAUACCUGAUACUGUGAGAGAGCUUUGCGUCCCAUUAGCUAGUUGGAGAGGUAACGGCUCACCAAGGCGAUGAUGGGUAGCCGGACUGAGAGGGUGAUCGGCCACAAGGGGACUGAGACACGGCCCUUACGCCUACGGGAGGCAGGAGUUGGGAAGAUUGGAAAAUGGACCAAAGUCGGAUCAAGCAAUUCUGUGUGAACGAUGAAGUUUUCGGAAUGUAAAGUGCUUUCAGUUGGGAAGCGGUAACAACAGAAGAAGUGACGGCUAAAUACGUGCCAGCCGCCGCGGUAAGUC